rnacentral:rRNA from 1 species
CCUACGGGAGGCAGCAGUGGGGGAUAUUGCACAAUGGGGGAAACCCUGAUGCAGCGACGCCGCGUGAGUGAAGAAGUAUUUCGGUAUGUAAAGCUCUAUUAGCAGGGAAGAAAAAAGACGGUACUUGACUAAGAAGACCCGGCUAACUACGUGCCAGCAGCCGCGGUAAUACGGAGGGGGCAAGCGUAGUCCGGAUUUACUGGGUGUAAAGGGAGCGUAGACGGCAAUACAAGUCGGAAGUGAAAUAUCCGGGCUCAACCUGGGAACUGCUUUGGAAACUGUAUGGCUAGAGUGCUGGAGAGGUAAGCGGAAUUCCUAGUGUAGCGGUGAAAUGCGUAGAUAUUAGGAGGAACACCAGUGGCGAAGGCGGCUUACUGGACAGUAACUGACGUUGAGGCUCGAAAGCGUGGGGAGCAAACAGGAUUAGAUACCCGGGUAGUC